rnacentral:rRNA from 1 species
GCAUAUCCAAUAGCGGAGGAAAAGAAACCAACAGGGAUUGCCUCAGUAACGGCGAGUGAAGCGGCAAAAGCUCAAAUUUGAAAUCCCCCGGGGAGUUGUAAUUUGAAGAUUGCGUCUUGGAGGCGACCGUGUCUAUGUUCCUUGGAACAGGACGUCACAGAGGGUGAGAAUUCCGUGCGGCACGGGCCCCGGCUCCUUAUAAGGCGCUCUCGACGAGUCGAGUUGUUUGGGAAUGCAGCUCAAAGUGGGUGGUAAAUUCCAUCUAAAGCUAAAUACAGGCGAGAGACCGAUAGCGAACAAGUACAGUGAUGGAAAGAUGAAAAGCACUUUGAAAAGAGAGUGAAACAGCACGUGAAAUUGUUGAAAGGGAAGGGCAUGCCGUCAGAUUGUCAGUGUGGGUAAGAAGCGGGGUACAAAGACUGUGGAACGUGGCCCUCGGGUGUUAUAGCCGCAGUUCAUGCCCCGUCUCUUUCCGAGGCCUGCUUUGAGGACACCGACGUAAUGACGGUACGCCGCCCGUCUUGAAACACACGGACC